rnacentral:rRNA from 1 species
GAUGAACGCUGGCGGCGUGCCUAAUACAUGCAAGUCGAGCGAACAGACGAGGAGCUUGCUCCUCUGACGUUAGCGACGGACGGGUGAGUAACACGUGGAUAACCUACCUAUAAGACUGGGAUAACUUCGGGAAACCGGAGCUAAUACCGGAUAAUUUAUUGAACCGCAUGGUUCAAUAGUGAAAGACGGUUUUGCUGUCACUUAUAGAUGGAUCCGCGCCGCAUUAGCUAGUUGGUAAGGUAACGGCUUACCAAGGCGACGAUGCGUAGCCGACCUGAGAGGGUGAUCGGCUACACUGGAACUGAGACACGGUCCAGAAUCCUACGGGAGGCAGCAGUAGGGAAUCUUCCGCAAUGGGCGAAAGCCUGACGGAGCAACGCCGCGUGAGUGAUGAAGGUCUUCGGAUCGUAAAACUCUGUUAUUAGGGAAGAACAAAUGUGUAAGUAACUAUGCACGUCUUGACGGUACCUAAUCAGAAAGCCACGGCUAACUACGUG